UUCUUAAGUAGUUAGAAAGGCAGUACUAGAUUGACAAUUGAUAACUAUAACAUGAUAGUCUACCUUAAUGAGAAAGGGUAAAACAAAGUGAUUUUUCUGUUAAUCUUUUAUAAUUCUGUAAAACUAGUUAUUUUUCUUUAUGAAUGAAUCACAAGAAUUUAUUUAAGCUGAUGCUGACAUAUAUAGUGAUCAUAUGUGGAGUUCCACUUUGAUGCUGAUGCACACUGUGAUCAUGUGAGGUAGUGUACUUUAGAGCAUAUGGCCCUCAGUUGUGAAAAUUGGUUUUCAAGAAUGAAUCACCAAACGUCUCAAUUGUAGCAAGUUGUCUAAGCAUUCCCUUCAAGUUUAUGGCCAUAAAAGAAAGCUGUUCCACAAGACAUAAGGGCUUUUACUAUUUCUCUUGAAAUAAAAUAAAUUAGCACAACAUUAACCCAGGGUAUUAUCUGAAAACCCUAGUUCUGUGUGAUAUUAACAAGUGUCAUUGAUAGCAGAAUCUCUUUUUGUAAGUUUGGUUACCAUUGCAUUAAAUAGGUUUCUUUACUUCAGGGCCUGUGAGAACUUUUAGUAUGUUAAAAUGGUUAUGAAUAUUCAAUAGGAUACAGAGUAUGUGGUAUUUUUCCUAAUUCAGUUAUUCAGCCCUGAAAGACUACUCAUUGAGAAAAUUAGGAAUUAACAAUUUUAUACAUGUUCUUUAGGAGGAGGGAAUAAGUAGUAGUGAUUGUGGCUUUUAUUUUUGUAAUUUACAACUGAUAAUUGUUAAUCAAUCAAUGCUUCUAUCCCUACAUUUCCUAGAUUAUGUAGUUUGUUUAGAAAUGAAAUUGAUAAUCUAAGUGUUGUUCUUUCAUAUUUUGCAAAAUGGGAGAUUGAGUUUAUCUAAUAAAAAGUUCUCUUCAGUUUUGAAGAGUUGGUUCCCACAUGCUUUAAAAGACCUAAUCACUGCCAAAUCUUACUGAGAGAUAAAUAAAAGUAAUUUAUCUAACACACACACACACGCACACACACACACACACACAGACAUAUAUUUACAGAGAGAUGUAUAAUAUAUGUGUGUGUGUGUGUGUGUGUGUAUUCCUGUAAUGUUUACAUAACAUAGAAAUUACUUUAUUGUAUCUACAUAAAAUACAAACUUAAUCAUACACUCAUAGCAGAGUAUUGAAAAAUGCAUUUUCUUUAUAAUUUCUAGAGUUCAUUGUUUCCCUAAGUACUAAAUACUGAGUGGAGGUGAAAAACAAAAAAACUUGGAUUUGCUCUCUGACCCUGGUAUAUGACCAUGACCUUUUAUAUAGUUCUAAUUCCCAAAAUACAAUCCUGUACUGCAUAACAUUUCCAUCAACAAUGGGCUAAAUAUACAACAGUGGUCCCAUAAGAUUAUAAUAUUAUGUUUUUACUGUACCUUUCUAUGCUUGGAUAUGUUUAGAUACACAGUAAUUGCCAUUGUGUUAUACUUCCUACGAUAUUAGUACAGUAAUGUGCUGUGCAGGUUUGUAGCCUAGGAGCAAUAGGGCUAUACAUAUACCCUAGGUGUUUAGUGGGCUAUAUGUAUAUAUCAGCCAUGUUUGUACAGGUACCCUCUAUGAUACUUGCAUGACAAAACUGCCUAACAAUGCAUUUCUCAUAAUGUAUACCUGUUGUUAAGUGAUGCAUAUAACGAGGCUUAUUUGUAACAAUAUGGAUGGAACUAGUGGAGAUUUUUAGGUUAAGUGAAAUAAGCCAGGCCCAGAAAGACAAACAUCACAUGUUCUUACUUAUUUGUGGGAUCUAAAAAUCAAAACAAUGAACUCAUGGACAUGGUAGAAGGAUGGUUAGUAGAAGGAUGGUUACCAGAGGCUGAGAAGAGUUUUGAUAUGGUGGGGGGAUGUGGGGAUGGUUAAUUGGUAACCCCCCCCAAAAAAUGAAUAAGUCCUAGUAUUUGAUCACACAACAGGGUUACUAUAGUCAAUAGUAAUGGAAUUGUGUAUUUUAAUAUAACCAAGAAUAUCAUUGGAUUGCUUGUAACUCCAAGGAUGAAUGCUUGAGGAGAUGGAUACCUCAUUCUCUGUGAUGUGCUUAUUUCACAUUGCCUGCCUAUACCAACUAAAUACCCCAUAAAUAUAUACCUACUAUGUACCCGCAAAAAUUAAAAAUACGGAAAUUAAAAAAAGAAAAAAAACUAAUAGGAAGCUUAGGAAGGGAAUACUUCCAAGAUUGUUUCCAAUUUUAAAAUUCUAUUACGCAGAUAAACUUCUACAGCUGGUUAAAAUUGAGUAACAAGAAGUAGAUUUACCAUGCUAUACAAAAUAAUCAAUGUAGGUAAAAUAUAUGAAUCAGUGAUUUUCAAGAAACUGAACAUCAGGUAAUGAAGGACAAUGAGGCCUGAAAAAUAGAAAAUAAACCAAGGAAGCCAUGUUAUUACCCCAGCUUAUGGCCUAGGGAAAAUUUCCAGGCCACAGCUGGGGAAUAAGAACCCAGGUAGGGUCCCAAGCCAGCUAGAGUAUUUAAAAUAGAGUAUUGGAGAGUACUUCAGAGUAUUGGAGUAUUUUUGAAAAUUCAAAAAUAUACAGCACCCAACCAAGUAAAAUUCACAAUGUUGGGUAUCUACUCAAAGAUUACCAGACAGGCAAAGAAGCAUAAUAAAAUGAAAAUUAGUAACAAUAACCCACACUGACAGAGAUGCUAAAAUUAGCCAACAAGAACAUUAAAACAGUUUUAAUAACUAUGUUUAAGAUGCUUAACAAGGCCGGGCAUGGUGGCUCACACCUGUAAUCCCAGCACUUUGGGAGGCCAAGGCUGGCAUAUCAUGAGGUCCGGAGUUCAAGACCAGCCUGGCCUAUAUGGUGAAACCCUGUCUCUACUGGGAAAAUAUGUGUGUGUGUGUGUGUGUGUGUAUAAAUUAGCCAGGCUUCGUGGCAUACACCUGUGUAGUCCCAGCUACUCAGGAGCCUGAGGCAGGAGAACCACUUGAACGUGGGAGGUAGAGGUUUCAGUGAGCCAAGAUCACGCCACUGCACUCCAACCUGGGUGACAGAGUGAGACUCUGCCUAAAAAAUAAAACAAAAUAAAUGCUUAACAAGCUGAGAUAUGGAAGGUAUAAAAGGGCCCAAGUCAAACUUCUGGAGAUGAAAACCACAAUGUCUGAUGGAGUUAACAAAGGAUGAAAUUAAUGGAUGAUUAAAUAUUCCAAAAAACAUACAUUAGUUUGAAUUUGAGGGCAUGGAAAUGGGCUGGGCAUGAUGGCUCAUGCCUGUAGUCCUAGCACUUUGGGAGGUUGAGGUGGGUGGAUCACGAGGUCAGGAGUUUAAGACCAGCCUGGCCAAUAUGAUGAAACCCCCGUCUACUAAACAUACAAAAAUUAAGGUGUGAUGGCAUGUACCUAUAAUCUCAGCUACUCUCAGUUACUCAGGAGGCUGAGACAGGAGAAUCACUUGAACCCAAGAGGCAGUGAUUGCAGUGAGCUGAGAUCAUGCCACUGCACUGCACUUCAGCCUGGACAACAGAGCAAGACUCCAUCUCAAAAAAAAAAAAAAAAAAGAAAUGGAAAUAUUUAAAAUGAAACAUGGAAAGAAAAUAAUUUUUUUUUAAUGAAGAGUAUCAUUAAAGCUGUAGGACAAUAUCAAGUGGCCUAAUGUGUAUGUAAUUGGUGUCCUGGAAGGGACAACAAAAGUAAAAGGGACAAAAAUGAGAGAAAAAAGGAGAACAGAGAAGAAAAUUUUCCGUAUUUGAUGAUAACUAUUAAAAUGAACCCAUAGAUCCAAAGUGCUCAACAAACCCUGAGCACAAAAAAAAACAUGAAAAAAAACUACACUAAGACACAUGAAUCAAAUUGCUUAUUUGAUUAGAACAUCUUAGAAGCAUUCGUAACAGGGCUUAUGAUAUAUAAAGGAACAAAGACAAGGAAGAUUUGUUAGAAAUAAGUGAGAAGAGAGUGGAAAAUCUUUUAAGUACUGAAAAGAAACCGUCAACCUAAAAUUCUAUUCCUAAAGAAAAUCUCUUUCAAAAACAAAGGCAAAAUAGAGUUUUUCAGACUUAUAAACACUAAAAGAAUGAAUCACUAACAGACCCAUCCUACAAGAAAUGUUUAAGAAAGUCCAACAUUAUGCUCAAAGGAAAUGCUCAUUGGAGCAAUUUGGAUUUUCUGUUUUUUGAUUAGGGAUACUUAUAUUCUAUAAGUACUAAAAAAAUCUGAAAUCUGAAACACUUCUGGUCCCAAGCAUUUUGGAUAAGGGAUAUUCAGCCUGUACUUAUAGGGACAUUUAUAGCAGUAAACAGAAUCCUCAGCUUCCACCUAAGAAGCUAGAAAAAGAUGAGCAAAUAUAAUGCAACAUAAGCAGGGAAAGGAAAUAAAGAUCAGAAUAGAAAUAAAAUAAAUGGAAAACAGAAAAAAUAGUAGUAGAGAAAAUCAGUGAAAUAAAAAUCUGAUUCUUUGAGAAGAGCAAUAAAAAUGAUAAACAUCGAGAAACUGAAUUAGGUCUUAUGGAGAAGCCCCCGCGUAAUGAGGAGACCCCAUCUUCAGAACCAAUGGAGGAAGAGGAAGAUGAUGACUUGGAGCUGUUUGGUGGCUAUGAUAGUUUCCGUAGUUAUAACAGCAGUGUGGGCAGUGAGAGCAGCUCCACUGGAGGAGUCAAGUGAAGCAGAGAAUGAGGAUCGGGAAGCAGGGGAACUGCCAACCUCCCCACUGCAUUUGCUCAGCCCUGGGACUCCUCGAUCCUUGGAUGGCAGUGGUUCUGAGCCAGCUGUCUGUGAGAUGUGUGGUAUCGUGGGUACAAGGGAAGCCUUCUUCUCCAAGACCAAGAGGUUCUGCAGCGUCUCCUGCUCCAGGAGCUACUCCUCCAACUCCCAAGAAAGCCAGUAUCUUGGCCAGAUUACAGGGAAAACCACCAACCAAGAAAGCCAAAGUCCUGCACAAAGCCGCCUGGUCUGCCAAAAUCGGAGCCUUCCUCCACUCCCAGGGGACAGGACAGCUGGCAGAUGGGACACCAACAGGACAAGAAGCGCUGGUCCUGGGCUUCAACUGGGGGAAGUUCUUGAAGGAUCACAGUUACAAGGCUGCUCCUGUCAGCUGUUUCAAGCACGUCCCCCUCUAUGACCAGUGGGAGGAUGUGAUGAAAGGGAUGAAUGUGGAGGUGCUCAACAGUGACGCUGUGCUCCCCAGCUGGGUGUACUGGAUCGCCUCUGUCAUCCAGACAGCAGGGUAUCGGGUGCUGCUUCGGUAUGAAGGCUUUGAAAGUGACGCCAGCCAUGACUUCUGGUGCAACCUGGGGACUGUGGAUAUUCACCCCAUUGGCUGGUGUGCCAUCAACAGCAAGAUCCUAGUGCCCCCAUGGACCAUCCAUGCCAAGUUCACUGACUGGAAGGGCUACCUCAUGAAACAGCUGGUGGGCUCCAGGACGUUUCCCGUGGAUUUCCACAUCAAGAUGGUGGAGAGCAUGAAGUACCCCUUUAGGCAGGGCAUGUGGCUGGAGGUGGUGGACAAGUCCCAGGUAUCAUGAACUCGCAUGGCUGUGGUGGACACGGUCAUCGGGGGUCGCCUAUGGCUCCUCUACGAGGAUGGUGACAGUGACGACGACUUCUGGUGCCACAUGUGGAGCCCCCUGAUUCACCCAGUGGGUUGGUCACGACGUGUGGGCCAUGGCAUCAAGAUGUCAGAGAGGCGAAGUGACAUGGCCCAUCAUCCCACCUUCCGCAAAAUCUACUGUGAUGCCGUUCCUUACCUGUUCAAGAAGGUACGAGCUGUCUACACAGAAGGUGGUUGGUUUGAGGAAGGGAUGAAGCUGGAAGCCAUUGACCCUUUGAAUCUGGGCAAUAUCUGCAUGGCAACUGUCUGUAAGGUUCUUCUGGAUGGAUACCUGAUGAUCUGUGUGGAUGGGGGGCCCUCCACAGAUGGCUCAGACUGGUUCUGCUACCACGCCUCUUCCCACGCCAUCUUCCCAGCCAACUUCUGUCAGAAGAAUGACAUUGAGCUCACACCCCCAAAAGGUUAUGAGGCACAGACUUUCCACUGGGAGAACUACUUGGAGAAGACCAAGUCAAAACCUGCUCCAUCAAGACUCUUCAACAUGGAUUGCCCAAACCAUGGCUUCAAGGUGGGCAUGAAGCUGGAGACCGUGGACCUGAUGGAGCCCCAGCUCAUCUGUGUGGCCAUGGUGAAACGGGUGGUGCAUCGGCUCCUCAGUAUCCACUUUGAUGGCUGGAACAGCGAGUAUGACCAGUGGGAGGACUGUGAGUCCCCGGACAUCUAUCCCGUCGGCUGGUGUGAGGUCACCGGCUACCGGCUCCAGCCUCCUGUGAAUGCAGAACCGGCCACACCUCUGAAGGCCAAAGAGGCCACAAAGAAGAAAAAGAAAUAGUUUGGGAAGAAAAGGAAAAGAAUCCCACUGACCAAGACGUGGCCCCUCAGAACAGGGUCCAAGAAGCCCCUGCUGGAGGACGACCCUCAGGGCACCAGGAAGAUCUCAUCAGAGCCCACCCUGGCGAGAUUAUUGCUGUGCAUGUGAAGGAAGAGCAUGUAGAUUUGGCCUCAUCCAACAAGGCUUCAAGUCCAGAGCUGCCUGUCCCCGUCGAGAACAUUAAGCAGGAAACGGACAACUGAGCCCUCCUGCCGCCAGCCUGGCUCCUAGCUUGGAAGCCAGCCUUGGGGUUUCUCCACCACCACCACUGAGCCUCUGCAUGUGUAAAUUUUGCCUGGUGCUGUGAAGGCUGGACAGUGGAGGACCUGCUGGGGUCUCCUGGGACCCGCCUGUUGCCUCUGCGAUCCCCUGUGGAAAGGCCUAGGUGACUGGGGCUGCCUGAGGUCUUCUGCGAACCACCUCCAGCCAGAGUUCCUGAUGCUGGACUGUCAGCUGCCCGGGUGCCUGCUUUUCCUUAAGAUGACCUUCCCACCACAGCCCUUAGUUCCCAGGUUGGGGCCACCCCUGGCACACUGGAAGACAAGACAGUGCACUCUGUGUCUACCCAAACGACUCAUGUAAAUUAAGUUCUAGAGCAGCUCUCUGAGCAGAAUAAGGUCCCCUUACAGUGAGUCGUGAUGGGAGCAGCCUCUGCCUCAAAAAUUCGCCAAGCAGAGUGCCUCUCAGCCUCAUGUGUUGGUCCUCUGCCCCUCCUAAGCUCCCCAGGGAUGUUGGGAACCCAGCUUGGCUGGGCAGCUGAGAAGCAGUGACCAGGAUGUGGAUUUUGGUGACCCAUGUGGUGGCCUUGAGCUGUUUGCUCUGUUCGCAUGAGCGUGGACUCCCAUUUUUUAAAGGAAAUGCCCCAGGAAGGACAGUGGGAGGAAGAUGACCUGAGGGUGCACCCUGGCUCUGCUCCUGGAGCCCUGCUAAAAGUCAUUCAUCCAAGAGUGCCUUGUAGUUAAAGGAUUCAGUUCCAACUGGAGCCUCUGGGAGAGCUGGGCAUGUAUGCUGUCUUGGCCUUGUGUUCCUACCGGUAUGAAGAUCCAUGAACACAGGGCCCUCAGGGCCAGGUGACAGAGCUGGAGGACACAUCUGGCUGCCACUGCAGCCUCACUGGGCUUUCCAGACUUUGUGUAUGAAAAAUUAAAUCCCCUACUUGCCUGGAAAAAAAAAAUGAUAAACAUCUUGACAGAUUGAUGAGGAAAAAAAGUAAAAAGAGAAGAAACAAGUGAUCAGCAUCAGAAAUGAAUGUUGGGAUAUCAUGACAAAAUUUACAAAUAUUAGAUAACAAGACAGUAUUAUGAACAGCAUUAUGCCAAUAAAGCCUACACCUUAGAUAAAAUGGGCAGUUUCAACAGGAGGUACAAAAUACCAAAGCUCACUCUAUCAGAAAUAACCUGAAUAAUCUUAUAUGCAUUCUCACAAAGAAAACUCCAAGCCAGAUGAUGCCAUGCAAUAAAUUCUACCAAACAUGUAAGAAAGAAAUAAUGCCAAUUCUAUAUUUACCUUUCUAGAAAAUUGAAGAGCAAGGAAUAAAUCCUGAAUCAUUUUGGGUCAGCAUUAUUCUGACAUCAAAAUCAGACAACAAUCUUACAAAAGAACAAAACUGCAGACUGAUGUUCUUCAUAAACCUAGGUGCAAACGGUAAAAGGUUUAGCAAAGGUAAUUCAGUAAUAUAUUUUAAAAGUUAAUACAUCGUAAACAAGUGGAGUUUAUUCUAGAACGCAGUAUUGGUUUAAUACCCAAAAAAUCAUUUCAUCUUAACAACUAAAAAAGAAAAACCACAUUAUCAUCACACGCAGAAAAUCCAACAUUCAUUCUGAUAAAAAUUCUGAGCAUGCUAGGAAUAGAAAGGAACUUGGUCAACCUGAUAAAGGGUACCUGUGAAACCUUCGACUAAAUUAUACUUACUGGUGAAAGACUGGAUGUUUUUUCCCUCCAAGGUCAGCCAAACGGUGAUGAAAUCUGCUUUUACUACUUCUUUUCAGCAUUGCCCUUCCUAGAAGUUUCAGCCAGUGCAAAAAGAGAAAAUGAUGAAAAUAAAAGGCAUCUGGAUUAGAAAGUAGGAAGUAGAACUCUCUUUAUUCACAGACCACAUUAUCAUCUAUAUAGAAAAAGAAAUAAAAUCUGCAAAGUAGCUACUAGAACUAAUAAGUGAAGCUAGAAAGAUUGUAAGAUUCAAGAUCAAUAUACAAAAAUAAAUUGGAUUUCUGUAUACUAGCAAUGGACAAUCAGAAGUUAAAAGAAAAUAACGUACAAUAACCUAAAGAAUAUGACAUUCUUAGGGAUGAAUAUGACAAAAGAUGCAUAAAUACCUGCGUACAUAAAACUACAAAAUGCUCAGAGAAAUUAAAAACCCAAAUAAAUGGAGAACUAUACCAUGUUCAUAGACUAGAAGACUCAAUACUGUUAAGAUGAUAAUUCUUUGCAUAUUGACCUAUAGAUUCAGUACAACCCUAGUCACAGUUUGAGGAGGGUUUUAUUAAAGAAGUUGACAUACUGAUUCUAAAAUUGCUGUGGAAAUGGAAAAUACCUAGAAUAGUCAAACAACUUUGAAUACCUGAUCUAUAGUGACAGAAAGCAGAUCAGUGUUUGUGAGGGUUGUGGGGAAGAAUGGGAAAAUUAUAAAGGAGCACCACAUAUGGAAACUUUUAGGGAUAAUGAAUAUGUUUAAUAUCUUGAUUGUGCUUAGUAAAAUAUUUCUGAUUUUUAUCAGAAAAUAAAUUAGAAAUUUUCUGGCCGGGCCUGGUGGCUCACGCCUGUAAUCCCAGCACUUUGGGAGGCCGAAGCAGGUGGAUCACUUGAGGCUAGGAGUUCAAGACCAGGCUGGCCAACACGGUGAAACCCCAUCUUUACUAAAAAAUACAAAUAUUAGCCGGGCAUAGUGGUGCAUGCCUGUAAUCUCAGCUACUUGGGAGGCUGAGGCAGGAGAAUCGCUUGAACUCAGGAGGUGAAGGCUGCAGUGAGCCAAGAUCACUGCCACUGCACUGCAGCCUAGACAAGAGAGUGAGACUGUCUCAAAACAAAAACAAAUCUUUAAAAUAUAGUAAACAUUUAUUUACUUAUCUAGGUUUUUUCUCCCCCCAAAAUACAUUCUAGUUUACCUUAUUCAAUAAGAAUUUAAGUAGAAAAUUUAGGAGUCAUGUUUAUGGUUUUGCUGAUACAUUCUUUUUUUUUUUUU